GACGAACGCUGGCGGCGUGCCUAAUACAUGCAAGUAGAACGCUGAAGGAGGAGCUUGCUUCUCUGGAUGAGUUGCGAACGGGUGAGUAACGCGUAGGUAACCUGCCUGGUAGCGGGGGAUAACUAUUGGAAACGAUAGCUAAUACCGCAUAAGAGUAGAUGUUGCAUGACAUUUACUUAAAAGGUGCAAUUGCAUCACUACCAGAUGGACCUGCGUUGUAUUAGCUAGUUGGUGAGGUAACGGCUCACCAAGGCAACGAUACAUAGCCGACCUGAGAGGGUGAGCGGCCACGCUGGGACGGGGACACGGCCCAGACUCCUGCGAGAGGGAGACGUAGGGGAUCUUUGGGGAUGGAAGGAAGGCUGACCGAGCAACGCCGCGUGAGUGAAGGAGGUUGUCGGGUCGUAAAGCUCUGUUAUAAGAGAAGAUCGUGUGUGAGAGUUGAAAGUUCACACUGUGACGGUACCUUAACAGAAAGGUACGGCUAACUACGUG
rnacentral:rRNA from 1 species